rnacentral:siRNA from 1 species
AUGCUGCGAUAGAGUGAUUUUGGU